UGUGGUUGUGGUUGUAUUUAGUAGUUUAUGUUGUUGUUCUCGAAGUAGUAGCAGUUAGAAUAGCUUAGGAUCUAGUGCCACAGGGACUGCCAAUUAAAAAUCUAAAAGCAAUGCACAAGUUUAGCAUCUGAUAUCUACAGAACUGAAGUCAUAUUCUAUAUCAUAUAAAUGCUUGGUUACAUAGAGUACAGUUCAUCAAUCAAACCAUCAUCAUCGUCAUCAUUGCUGCCGACACCGUUGCUACCACCACCAUUUUACCGUCAUUGUUAGAGAAAGGAAAUAAAAAUUAAGCAGCAAUUUUUAGAAUUCAAAACCUUAUGGUUGGAAAGAGAACUUCUUAAUCACACAGCCAUGCCUGCCUCUACAUAUAUCAUGCACAUGCAUGUCCAUGUAGGUAAACUUCAUUUCCCAACUAUGUAGUUUUGGGUUCAGUCCCUCUGCACAGCACCUUGUCUUCUACUAUAACCCUGAGCUGACUAAAGCACAAGUGGAUUUGGCAAACAGAAACUGAAAGUCAAUUUUGUAUGUAUGUAUAUGUAUGUUUGUGUGCAUUUUCAUGUUUUGCAUAGGCAUAGUGAUACCUGGCAUUAGAACUCAAAAUGUAUAUGCUUCAGAAUAAAGCGUUUGCAUCCUAUAGCAGAAA